AUUUUCAUAAGCCACUACAAGCGAACGCCGCCUCCCCGCCCCCACCCAUUACUUAUACACGUCUCUUCAACUUUUUACCAUUUAGUUUCUUCCUCCUCCUCCGAUCCUCUCUUCUCCUGCGUCGCUUCAAUUCUCUGGUUAUAUACCAGCACAGCGACUAUAACUGCAUGGAGAGCUACCCCGUGUUAUUUCCUUGUCCUAAUCCUUCGAAUUAUUCGGUUGCCACCAGUGCCAUGGGAAGCUCUCACGGUUUGAGCAAUAACAUGGAGGGCCAGAUUAAGUCUGGCGGGUUCCUGGGUUUGAGGCCUGCUGAAAGUGAUGAGAGCUUAUCGAGGAGCAAGGAGCAAGGUGGUUCUGGGAAGAAGAAGGGCGAGAAGAAGGCGCGGAAGCCUAGGCAUGCUUUUCAAACGAGGAGUCAGGUAGAUAUACUGGAUGAUGGCUAUCGGUGGAGAAAAUAUGGCCAGAAAGCUGUCAAAAACAACAAGUUCCCCAGGAGCUACUACAGGUGUACGCAUCAAGGGUGUAAUGUGAAGAAGCAAGUGCAACGGCUGACGAAAGACGAAGGCGUAGUGGUGACCACAUACGAGGGAGCGCACAACCAUCCCAUUGAGAAGACCACCGACAACUUCGAACACAUUUUGAGUCAGAUGCAAAUAUACACUCCCUUUUAGAUCCUUCAACUUAUUAUUUCCUCCAGCUCGAUCCUUUCUUUCUUACCUCACAUAUGCAUGCAUGAAGAAUAUAUAUAUAUAUAUAUCCAUCAUCCACACAGCCAUGACGCAUGCAUGCAUUUGGAUCCUCUCGAGUUCAUUAAGUUUUCUAUUUUUUUCCCGAAAGAAAGCGAAGACUUUCAUGUUAUUAGAAUAAGGAAACUUGAGGGAGAUGUUUGGGUCCUCGAUUUCAUCAGAAGAUUCAUACUCAUAUAUGCUCAGUAGCUAGGUAUAUACCAGAAUCUGCUUGCUGCUAUAUAUAUUGAUUCGGUAUAUUAUGUGCGGUGGAGAGGGACCAGACUAUAAGUAUUGCCUCUGCUCAGCCAUCAACAAACAGCGAAACUUAAGAAAAUAUCAGUCUUUCUUCCUCUUCAAAAGAGUCGCUGUUACUUUCUUCGUGGUUGUGUAUAUGUUUGCGGCUGGGCAAGUGUGUUGGCUGAUGACCAAAACUAGGUAGGCGCUGCUAUAAUUUGGACGUGCGGUUGGAAAAACCGAUUUGCUUGCCAUUGAAUAAUGACGGCUGCAACCAAAUUCGUUCAUUAGUAGUACAGUGUUUUUGGGAGUGAUUGUCCCGUGAAUAGUUAAUCUUUGUGUCAUUAAUUAGAUCUACUUACCCCCAACAAGUUUAUGAAGGUGGCUGCUCCACUGCUUUCAGAUAUCCCAGACACAAGAAUUGAAGUGGGGCAAAUAAACUUAAAUAAAUGAUAUCACUUCUGAAUGAUUAUAUAUCAUUAUUUUUUAAACAUGUCGGAUUCUCUCCAGUCGAAUAUGAAUUGUUUCAUGUGGUA